UGGGGAAUAUUGGACAAUGGGCGAAAGCCUGAUCCAGCGACGCCGCGUGGGUGAUGAAGGCCUUCGGGUUGUAAAGCCCUGUGGGCAGGGAAGAAAACGUUGCAGUCAAAUAGGCUGCGACCUUGACGGUACCUGCUCAGAAAGCACCGGCUAACUCUGUGCCAGCAGCCGCGGUAAGACAGAGGGUGCAAACGUUGCUCGGAAUUACUGGGCGUAAAGCGCGUGUAGGCUGACCGGAAAGUCGGGCGUGAAAUCCCUGGGCUCAACCCAGGAACUGCACUCGAAACUCCCGGUCUUGAGUGGUGGAGAGGGAAGUGGAAUUCCUGGUGUAGAGGUGAAAUUCGUAGAUAUCAGGAGGAACACCAGUGGCGAAGGCGGCUUCCUGGACACCAACUGACGCUGAGACGCGAAAGCGUGGGGAGCAAACAGGAUUAGAUACCCUGGUAGUCCACGCUGUAAACGAUGGGCACUAGGUGUCGGCGGGUUUUGACCCCCGCGGUCGCCGUAC
rnacentral:rRNA from 1 species